rnacentral:tRNA from 1 species
GCCCGCGUAGUUCAACGGAUAGAAUAUAGGCUUGCGGAGCCUAGGAUAUAGGUUCGACUCCUAUCGCGGGUACCA